rnacentral:rRNA from 1 species
AUACGUAGGUGACAAGCGUUAUCCUGAUUUACUGGGCGUAAAGGGCGUGUAGGCGGUCUUGCAAGUCAGAAGUGAAAUUCCUGAGCUCAACUCGGGCGCUGCUUCUGAAACUGCAGGACUUGAGUGCUGGAGGGGAUAGCGGAAUUCCUAGUGGAGCGGUAAAAUGCGCAGAUAUUAGGAAGAACACCGGUGGCGAAGGCGGCUAUCUGGACAGUAACUGACGCUGAGGCUCGAAAGCGUGGGGAGCAAACAGGAGUAGAUACCCUGGUAGUCCACGCUGUAAACGAUGAUUACUAGGUGUGGGGGGACUGACCCCUUCCGUGCCGCAGUUAACACAAUAAGUAAUCCACCUGGGGAGUACGGCCGCAAGGUUGAAACUCAAAUGAAUUGACGGGG